rnacentral:rRNA from 1 species
UACGUAGGUGGCAAGCGUUAUCCGGAAUUACUGGGCGUAAAGCGCACGCAGGCGGUCUUUUAAGUUUGACGUGAAAGCUCCCGGCUUAACUGGGAGAGGUCGUUGAAUACUGGAAGACUUGAGGCAAUGAGAGGGGUGUAGAAUUCCUGGUGUAGUGGUGGAAUGCGUAGAUAUCGGGGGGAAUACCAGUGGCGAAAGCGGCACCCUAGCGUUAGCCUGACGCUCAUGUGCGAAAGCGUGGGGAGCGAACGGG